CGGGCGCCAUUUUGUGAGGAGGGAUAUAAACGGGCGCCAGGGCCGGCCGCCCGCCCAGUUGUUUCUGUGGUGGAGGCGGCGGCUGCGGUGGUUCGCUCGCCUUUCCCGUCCACCGCGCCCGGUCCGGCCUCUCCCAGCGUCUCAACCGCGCGGAAGCCAACUGCCAGAGGCGCGGCGUCGAGCCGGGCUAGUGUGGGGAAACCGCCGCCUCAGCCGAGCGCGCGGGCCCGCCCAGGGCGUUACUAGGUCGGCGCGCAGUCGCGGCCCCCGGCCGGCGCUCCAGAGCCAUGAGUUACGGUCGCCCGCCUCCCGAUGUGGAGGGCAUGACCUCCCUCAAGGUGGACAACCUGACCUACCGCACCUCGCCCGACACCCUGAGGCGCGUGUUCGAGAAGUACGGGCGCGUCGGCGACGUGUACAUCCCGCGGGACCGCUACACCAAGGAGUCCCGCGGCUUCGCCUUCGUCCGCUUCCACGACAAGCGCGACGCCGAGGACGCCAUGGACGCCAUGGACGGGGCGGUGCUGGACGGCCGCGAGCUGCGGGUGCAGAUGGCGCGCUACGGCCGCCCGCCGGACUCGCACCACAGCCGCCGGGGCCCGCCGCCCCGCCGCUACGGGGGCGGGGGCUACGGGCGCCGGAGCCGCAGCCCUCGGCGACGCCGCCGCAGCCGCUCCCGGAGUCGGAGCCGCUCCCGGUCCCGCAGCCGCUCCCGCUACAGCCGCUCCAAGUCUCGCUCCCGCACUCGCUCGAGGUCGCGGUCCACGUCCAAGUCCAGGUCGGCGCGAAGGUCCAAGUCCAAGUCGUCGUCGGUGUCCAGGUCUCGCUCGCGCUCCCGGUCCCGGUCCCGGUCCAGGAGUCCUCCGCCCGUGUCCAAGAGGGAGUCCAAGUCCAGGUCGCGCUCCAAGAGCCCCCCGAAGUCUCCCGAGGAGGAAGGAGCGGUGUCCUCUUAAGCGAAUGGUAAUGUCAAUGGGGAUCCGAGACGCACGGACUCGAACUCAGAUGGGGUGUGCAGGAGCUUGUUAUGAUCCGUGUUAAUAUAAAGUGGCUCCUGGUGUCGGGAGUGCGGCUGUGAGCUAACUCAGCUUUGGGAGUAAUACUGAAGAGAGGGGUCUGCAGAGAGGAUGUGCAUAAAGCUUAGAUAUUAAUGGCUGUUUCGUAAACUGUUUGAGACCUAUUAAUGAAAAUGACUAUUUCUUGCUGUUUUUAUCCAACGUCUGCAUUUUCCCCUUUAAAGCUGCGGUCUCCUGUUUGAUAAAAGAAUAUUGGCCAGUAUUGCAGAUUUUAACUGAUUUGGCUGAUCCUCCAGGGACCAGUUUCUGUGGGCGUGUAUUGGAGCAGGUUUGUCUUUAAAUGUUAAAGAUGCACUAUCCUCUUAGCGAAAACGAUCAGUUCAACUAUUGUUGUACUGACUGGGACUUCAUAUUCUAACGGAUGUGGCAAACGAAUUGCAAAAAAGAAGCAAUGAACUUUCGGAACCCCAAAAAAGUUUACAGAUGGGUCAACAAGCAACAUAACAGAAGACUUGGGGGAGAAGGACCGCACACUCAGUCCAUCGAAGAGUCCUUGGAACAAGCAACUGGCUAUUGAAAAGGUUAUUUUGUAACAUUUUGUCUAACUUUUUACUUGUUUUAAGCUUUGCCUCAGGUGGCAAACUUCAUUUUAUGUGCCAUUUUGUUGCUGUUAUUCAAAUUUCUUGUAAUUUAGUGAGGUGAACGACUUCAGAUUUCAUUAUUGGCUUGGAUAUUUGAGGUAAAUUUUCCUUUUUGUUUAUAUAGUGCUGACUUUUUUUGUUUGAAAUUAAACAGAUUGGUAACCUAAUUUGUGGCCUCCUGACUUUUAAGGAAACGUGUGCAGCCAUUACACACAGCCUAAAGCUGUCAAGAGAUUGACUCAACAUUGCCUUCAUUCCUUAAAAUUAAAAACCUACAAAAGUCGGUGUAAAUUUGUUUGUAUAUGUUAUUUACCUUCAGAUCUAAAUGGUAAUCUGAACCCAAAUUUGUAUAAAGACUUUUCAGGUGAAAAGACUUGAUUUUUUGAAAGGAUUGUUUACCAAACACAAUUCUAAUCUCUUCUCUUGUGUAUUUUUGUGCACUAGGCGCAGUUGUGUAGCAGUUGAGUAAUGCUGGUUAGCUGUUAAGGUGGCGUGUUGCAGUGCAGAGUGCUUGGCUGUUUCCUGUUUUCUCCUGAUUGCUCCUGUGUAAAGAUGCCUUGUCGUGCAGAAACAAAUGGCUGUCCAGUUUAUUAAAAUGCCUGACAACUGCACUUCCAGUCACCCGGGCCUUGCAUAUAAAUAACGGAGCAUACAGUGAGCACAUCUAGCUGAUGAUAAAUACACCUUUUUUUCCCCCCUACCCCCAAAAUGGUAAAUCUGAUCAUCUUCAUGUAUGAACUUAAAAUACGGAAAAUGUUAAGGAAGCAAAAUGGUUUGUAACUUUGUAAGUACUUAUAACAUGGUGUAUCUUUUUGCUCAUGAAAAUUCUGUACUAUAACCAUUGUUUCUGUAGUUUAAUUAAAACGUUUUCUUGGUGUUAGCUUUUCUCAGAAUAUGUCUUGGUCUUUUUUCCCCCUCCCUUUAUUUGAAAGACCUGUGACCUGUGCAAUUUACCUUGUGAAUUGUUACUGACUGUACAGUAUGAAGGUGAAAUGUUUAGUAGUUGACUUUUUUCCCCCUUAAGUUAAAGUGGAAAUGCCAUUUCAGCACCCAUAACCCCUAAAAUCAAUGCUCUAGGGUAGCACUUCUCUUGAGGUUGUGGAUACUCCCUUCUUAGCUUAAUUUAUGGCCUGUUUUUAUUUUUUAUUUUUUUAAAGAACAGCCCAAGUCGUUUCUUGUUUGUUUUCUUACAGGCGUGUUAAUUUUUGUUUUCAUGGCUUUGUAACCCACAAGUGUUGUCUAGGUGACCCAUCACAAUCUUUAAGGCUGACAGAUUUGGACCAUCUUCAAAUCCAAUGUUUUUUUUGUACACCCAAGAAGUUAAAGUGGUCUGAGUCUAGUUGGCAUGCCAGGUUGCUAAUUAGUAUUGACGUCGUCCCAGAACAACCUGUAUGUAGGUGGUAAUUCAGAGACUGUCCUUUGCAAAGGAGAUGACCAGCAUUUCAACCGUAUGUCUUCCUGGAAGGGCAGAUUCUGCUAUAUCUUCCUUGUCUGCAUCAAAAGACUCCAGAGGAAUGUGGACACAUUUCAUAUCCCACUUGUAGAGCAAAGCUUCAAGUGACCAGUCAGCACUGAGAAAAAAAAAUAAAUUGUUUUUUUAAAAUCA